AUUGAACGCUGGCGGCAGGCCUAACACAUGCAAGUCGAACGAGUGGCGGACGGGUGAGUAAUGUCUGGGAAACUGCCUGAUGGAGGGGGAUAACUACUGGAAACGGUAGCUAAUACCGCAUACCAUCAGACGUGCCCAGAUGGGCUUAGCUUUUUGGUGGGGUAACGGCUCACCAAGGCGACGAUCCCUAGCUGGUCUGAGAGGAUGACCAGCCACACGUGAACUGAGGCACGGUCCAGACUCCUACGGGAGGCAGCAGUGGGGAAUAUUGCGCAAGGGGCGCAAGCCUGAUGCAGCCAUGCCGCGUGUAGGAAGAAGGCCGUCGGGUUGUAAAGUAAUUUCAGCGGGGAGGCGUUACCCGCAGAAGAAGCACCGGCUAACUCCGUGCCAGCAGCCGCGGUAAUUC
rnacentral:rRNA from 1 species